CCGGUGGUGGCGCGGGUGUUGUCGGCGUUCAGGCCGCCCAGCCCACCGUUACCGCCGGCGCCACCGGCC
rnacentral:tRNA from 1 species